AACGAACGCUGGCGGCCGGCUUAACACAUGCAAGUCGAGCGCCCCGCAAGGGGAGCGGCAGACGGGUGAGUAACGCGUGGGACUCUACCCAUCUCUACGGAAUAACGCAUGGAAACGUGUGCUAAUACCGUAUACGUCCUUCGGGAGAAAGAUUUAUCGGAGAGGGAUGAGCCCGCGUUGGAGUAGCUAGUUGGUGGGGUAAAGGCCUACAAAGGCGACGACCCAUAGCUGGUCUGAGAGGAUGAUCAGCCACACUGGGACUGAGACACGGCCCAGACUCCUACGGGAGGCAGCAGUGGGGAAUAUUGGACAAUGGGCGCAAGCCUGAUCCAGCCAUGCCGCGUGAGUGAUGAAGGCCCUAGGGUUGUAAAGCUCUUUCACCGGUGAAGAUAAUGACGGUAACCGGAGAAGAAGCCCCGGCUAACUUCGUGCCAGCCGCCGCAGUAACAC
rnacentral:rRNA from 1 species